rnacentral:lncRNA from 1 species
CUAGUUAGUAAAGCCAUUUUUGUGUUGGAUUGGAAUCAUAGUAAUCAGCGAAACCCCAUGUCACCUAGAAAAAUCACCAUCAAAACAUUCAAAUGCAAUAUUUUUCUGGAUGUGGAAAAUUCAUACAAACAUGAUGCUCUCUCUGUUUCGCUUGCACGCAUAAGUACUGAAUUUUCGGUGCAAUGCAUUACCCCCUUGUGUUUUGGAGAUUGCUGUCAGAAACAGUCAUGGACUGAUUUGCUUGCUAGUGCACACAGAGAGAAUUAGUCCAUGAAAAUCCGAGAAGAAUGAUAUAUUCUGUCUAGAAGUUCGAAGAACUUCAUCGAAGAUUAUCUAUGUUGUGGAGAAGAAGAAAGUAUAUCUCAAGAAAAGAUGACACUGAGAAGAAUAUGUGAAUAGAUUGAUCCCAUAAAAUGUUGCUGACGCAAAGCAAUUUUCAUUCGUGUGUCCCAAGUAGAAUGACUUUAGCUGAGAAAUGUGACGAUGAAGUGAAGAUGUAGCAUUUGUUUUGUUGUUCUUAUUUGUCUUAUUUAAGUCAUAGUACCACCUACUAUUAAGAGGGGUAUAGGUCAUCGAAGCUUAGGUACAUUGUGUUGCUUAGUCGAAACCUAUGAAGGACUGAGAGAAAUCUCUUUGUGCUCUGAAUGGUUACUUGACAGCAAGAGACAAAGUUCUUUUGAGAUAUCCUUAGAACCGAGGAUUUGGCUUUACUUGCUCCGCAAGGAAACACUACAUCGGGAAGGUCCUAAGAUGACACGUGUCUCGCAGACCAUUCGGCCAAACUGUAUGCGAUGAUAAAUCACAAACGCUAAUAAAAUAAAGUCGCGUGCAAGAAAAUGAAAUGUGUGACAUACCAUCCAUUAGGCGUGAUAAUGGUAUGCACACCAUGUGUGAUAGUGGGCACACACUUAGAGGCAAAAUUAUGUGUGAUAUAUGUAGUCGUAACGCGCACGGUUGCAAUGUUCUAAGUGACUGUGUUUGUUGGAAAACACUUUAUAGAAACAAAUUGUUUGCGAUAGUUAGGACCAUCUCACAUGUUGCGUAGUGUGAGUACUCAUGUAUUAUGAUUUAAAAGUUACUAGUACCGAGAAACUGGAGAUGGACUUGUUAGUUUUGUUGAUUCUGAUUUUGCUGGUGAUUUGGAUAAGAGAAGAUCACUCACAUGUUAUGUUUUCAUCAUUGGUGGUUGUGAUGUGAGUUGGAGAGCAACUUUGCAGUCUAUUGUGGCUUGUUCCACUACUAAUGCCGAAUAUAUGGCUAUUUCUGAGGCAUGCAAAGAAGCUAUCUGGUUGAAAGGUUUAUACACUGAGCUUUGCGGAGAUUCAUCUUGCCCUACCAUAUUUUCUGACAGUUAAAGUGCUAUAUAUCUUACAAAGAAUCCAAUGUAUCAUGAGAGAACGAAGCACAUUGAUGUCAGAUUUCACUAUGUUCGAGAUGUUGUUGCUAAAGGUGAUUUGAAGGUAUUAAAGAUAAGUAUUCAUAAGAAUCCAGCUGAUAUGAUGAAAAAGUCAGUUCCUACCAAUAAGUUUGAGCUUUGCUCAAGCUUAAUUGGUAUUUCGCACUAGUCCUUUGGACUUUGACGCACAAGGUGUUUAUGCUGAUUUGGAUGGAGUUAUUCACUUUCUUCGACUACUGGAAGGAAUCUGGCUCAAGGUGGAGAUUGUUAAUUUGUGAUCUAAAUUCUACUGUAUUGGACUAGACGUAGUACAAAUGGUGUGGGCUUUUGCGUUGGUACCGACAUGUACGAGUACAACUCGUUUACUUGUCCUCCAAGGACUCUCAUGUAUUGCCCCUCAUAUAUACUUCAUGUAGUCGCACCUAAAGACGACCUGUCGUCUCGUGCUUGUAAUACUCCAUCCUUAUAGUGAUUGCGCCUUCGUGCGUCCGUGGUUUUCUUCCGCAAGGGUUUGCACGUAAAAAUUUGUUUGAUCUGUGGUCCACGGAGCAGUGGGACAUGGCCUCAACUGAUUUACCCUGCCUAAGUCAUUCACUCGUCACUUGGUAUGCCACUUGGUAUGCCAGUUCAAACUGGAGAAGGAUUUUGCAAUUAUCAAAACACGCUACCAAUAUGCCGCUUUUGCGGAUAAGGAAAAAACAUCACUUGACGGCGAAAUUCUAAGGCAGUGCAAAUUUCAUGCAAACAUGGUGCUCUAUCUGUGUUGGUUGCCUGGAUAGCUAUAGCAUGACUACACACAUUGUUGGUUGCUCAUGCGUAUUGGCAUGGGAAGGUGAAAGAAUUGGAUAGAUUGGUCUAUAAAGUGAGCCAUCUUUUAGCCAGUUUAGCGUAGUUAGCAGCAGCAGGAAACUAUCACUGUGUUAAUAUAGGUUCAGAAGAGAUUGAUGGGAACAAAAUGUAUUGUGAUGUUGGAGGAAACUGAUAUCGUAGUGUGUACGUUCAGGACUGGUUUCAGAAUUUGUGCUGACUUGACGACUGUGGGAUGGAGAGUAAGAAGCCAAAGUGAGGAAUGCAAGAAAAUUAUCAGAAUAAUUGCUUACCUGUGAAUAUGCAUCUGAUUGCGUUUAUAUAAAAUAAUAUUUGUCUUAUGUAUUGUAACAUCUUGAUUUCAGCAAGAUAUUAGGAAAACUGUAUGGCUUCAUGUUUGAAACCAUCAAAACAUUCCCUGCUUCCUUCAAAUGAGUUUUUGUGUGCAAAAUAUAUAUGAUACUAUAUAUCAGUUACCACUGUUUAUUUUGAGAAAAAGAUUGAAGGGGGUCCCUAUAGGGUAAUAAUUAGAAGCCAAAAUCCGAGUCCACUAAACUUGAAUUUACAUGGUGAAAUUGCACAAUCACUGAUUAGGAUCAACAACAGCAACAAACAAUUCUAACAGUCCAUUAACAGCAAGACCCAACUACAGAUGAUAACAAUGAUCCAGGUGCCAUGAGCCCUCCCUGAACGCAUGCUAUUCACACGCUGGCACUCCACUAAUCCUCCUUACAGAUUUUAAGCAUAUGAUAAACUCCCUUGCUUUCGCCCAUGCUACUUUUCUCCGAUCAUGCGCUUUGCCAACAAGAAUCACACAACUCUCGUCGGUCGGAGCCGUGCCUUCAAAGCCAAUAAUGGCAAGCUUAGCCAGGACCAUCAUCAUCAUAAUCAUCAUGAUCCUAACCGCUAAAGCUCACGCGAAACAUUUCCCAGCCGAUCGAAUCCAUGGUAGUAUCACAUCACCACGCCGGUCGUGGGCGAGCGGCCACCAAAUCUUCCACUUAGCAUCAAUCAGUCUGCUCACUGCUGUGUGAGAUCACCUAACCUAGUAAAUGUAGCAUUAAUAGGCUGGUAAAUUGCAAUUGAUAUACUAUAGCCCAUAAGCAAAAUGUAAAAUUCUUAUAACUUACUAGUCUUUUGGCAAACUUAUGGAUGCGAAUUUGGAACUUUUAGGGUAUCCUCCGACCCUUCUUCUGUUGUAUCGUUUCAAUUUUAUCCGAGGGGAUCCUCCGACCCUUCUUAGUUCAACUAAAUAAACUAAAUUUCGCCUGCCUAGGCAAACUCUUACUGUGAUUUAGCAGUUCGUCAGCUUUGAUCCAUGUGCUCCUUUCACAUUCUUCUUCAGUUGAGCUGGCCCAUCCACAGUAUGCAAGCAUGUGUGUCUGAAACUUCCAUUGUGCAGCUCAAAUUUUGGUUAACUACUACAGUCGCAGCAUGCCUUUUGCAC